rnacentral:rRNA from 1 species
GGAUGAACGCUGGCGGCGUGCCUAACACAUGCAAGUCGAACGGAGAUAGCAAUAUCUGAGUGGCGCACGGGUGAGUAACACGUAGCUAACCUGCCCUCGAGAGCGGGAUAACCCCGGGAAACCGGAGCUAAUACCGCAUAAGCUCAGGCUCUGUAGAGGGGUGUGAGAAAAGGAGCGAUCCGCUUGAGGAGGGGGCUGCGGCCCAUCAGCUAGUUGGUGAGGUAAAAGCUUACCAAGGCGACGACGGGUAGGGGGCCUGAGAGGGUGGUCCCCCACACUGGGACUGAGACACGGCCCAGACUCCUACGGGAGGCAGCAGUGAGGGAUAUUGGUCAAUGGGCGAAAGCCUGAACCAGCGACGCCGCGUGGGUGAAGAAGGUCUUCGGAUCGUAAAGCCCUUUUCUGCGUGAAGAGCAAGGACGGUAGCGCAGGAAUAAGUCUCGGCUAACUACGUGCCAGCAGCCGCGGUAAAACGUAGGAGGCAAGCGUUAUCCGGAGUUACUGGGCGUAAAGGGCGUGCAGGCGGUUGGCUAAGUUCGUUGUGAAAGCGCCCAGGCUUAACCGGGCGAGGACAAUGAAGACUGGUCAGCUAGAGGACGGUAGAGGGGUGUGGAAUUCCGGGUGUAGUGGUGAAAUGCGUAGAGAUCCGGAGGAACACCAGAGGCGAAGGCGACACCCUGGGCCGUACCUGACGCUAAGACGCGACAGCACGGGGAGCGAACGGGAUUAGAAACCCCGGUAGUCCGUGCCGUAAACGAUGCCAACUAGGCGUUCGGCUUGCGGAAGCGAGCCGGGUGCCGCAGGAAACCCGAUAAGUUGGCCGCCUGGGGAGUACGGUCGCAAGGCUAAAACUCAAAGGAAUUGACGGGGGCCCGCACAAGCAGCGGAGCGUGUGAUUAAUUCGAGGCUACACGAAGAACCUUACCUGGGUUUGACAUAGCGUGGUAGUGAAGCGAAAGCGGAACGACUUCGGGAGCCGUUACAGUGCUGCAUGCUGUCGUCAGCUCGUGUCGUG